CGCCCCCCAUGCUCGGCGCAAUCAAGUCCCUCCUUCGUGAAGGCUCAGUGCGCCGGCGCAGAGCCGAAAAGUGAGGCGGCCGGCCGGCGCCGCACUACGCAUGCGCGGGCCUUGGCGGCGGGACUUUUUGGCUGGUUUGGCGGGUUGCUGAUAUGUGUCUAAAGUUCUCAUUGGAUGUGGCUGAGCCUGGCGGCGUUUGCCAGAGUACGGUUUUGUGGUGUGGUCUUAGAGAGUUAGUCCCACCUCUUCAAUCUAAGCAGUGGGGUGGCGGGACAGGGGUGGUUUCAAUCAGCACCCGUGCCCUUGCCAGCCCAGGGUUGGUUACCCUUGGUGGAACAGGCCACCCAGACAGGGCUGGACCAAUUGCUCUACGGUCAUAGGUCAUCUCCAUCACCAUUUCUCAGUGAUGCCCACGCCCUCCUGUGCCUCCACAACUUCCUGUUACAUAUUCCUCAGCAAUUACCACUCUGGAGUCAUCUUGUUUAUCUGUUAGCUCCCAUUAUGACAUUCGUGAGAGAAUGACUAAGAAGUGAGGGGGCAGGAGCGGAUGGCAUGUGGUUCUAUUCAGAGAUGUGCCGGGUAAGAUGGACGAACUGCUUGGCUUGGGUUUCAGGUGUAGCUUCCCACCUCUGCGCACCCUGUUCCCCGCAUCCUGUGCCUCCCGACAGAACAAUUUGCCUUUUGAAAUGACAGUUGGAGGAAAAUCUUUGCAUCUCGGUACUUAAAGAGCUACUUAGAAUUACCCUUUGUCCCUAGUUUGUUCAAUUGUUAAAAACAAAUAAAGCCAGGUUAAUUUA